rfam:Neotoma lepida isolate 417 scaffold_1670, whole genome shotgun sequence.
CAAGUGCAUCCUCCACCCCCACCCCCUGCCCUGUCUCCUCGCUUUUCUGAGGCUGUUGCGGUACCCGCGUUGGGAGUCCGAGCUUUGAAAACUCCUCGGUGGCGCCCGUCUGAGGUCGGAGCAUGCUCAGUA